rnacentral:rRNA from 1 species
AUUGAACGCUGGCGGCAUGCCAUACACAUGCAAGUCGAACGGCAGCACGGGUGCUUGCACCUGGUGGCGAGUGGCGAACGGGUGAGUAAUAUAUCGGAACGUACCUUAUUGUGGGGGGUAACGCAGCGAAAGCUGUGCUAAUACCGCAUAAUCCCUAAGGGGGCAAGCGGGGGACCGUAAGGCCUCGCGCAAUUAGAGCGGCCGCGACCUGAUUAGCUAGUCGGUGAGGUAAAGGCUCACCAAGGCAACGAUCAGUGCGUGGUCUGAGAGGACGAUCAGCCACACUGGGGCUGAGACACGGCCCAGACUCCUACGGGAGGCAGCAGUGGGGAAUUUUGGACAAUGGGGGCAACCCUGAUCCAGCAAUGCCGCGUGAGUGAAGAAGGCCUUCGGGUUGUAAAGCUCUUUUGUCAGGGAAGAAACAGCAGCUCUAACACAGUUUGCGAAUGACGGUACCUGAAGAAUAAGCACCGGCUAACUACGUGCCAGCAGCCGCCGUAA